GAACCAAAAUCUUUUAUCCAGGAUGAGGGCAUACAAACUGCAAGGGGCCUGGGUCGGGGAGGCAGAGAAGCGCCCGCCUCUUCCGACCUCUCAGGUGCGUGUGAGCCGAUGCUCCGCUAGGGGGCGCGGGAGAGCAGGCCGCCCCCCGCGUGACUCUCAGAGCCCGAGGGCUCCUUCCAGGUCCGCUGCCUUCUGCCCACAGGAAGGAGUCACUUUCCCAACUGGCGGGGAACGGGGGAGUCACUUUCCCAACUGGCGGGGAGCGGGGGAGUCACUUUCCCAACUGGCGGGGAGCGGGGGAGUCACUUUCCCAACUGGCGCGGGCGGGUUGGGAGGGGCCGCUGAGCCGCAUCUGCUGCAGUCACGAAGCUUUCUUAGCACCUCCUGGAGUUCAAGGAAAAUCCAGAAGCAGCUCUUUCCUUGAAGGAAGACGUUCACAGCAUCGCACCCACGAAGAGGGUGCGGCUUCCCCCUCUCACCCUUCUGGGUCUCGGCCGAUCGCCUGGCAGUUGGGCUCGUGGCCCAUCCUGCAGGAGGGCGCAGGCAUGCAUAGCGCCUGCGGAGGAGCGCUGCUCCUACGCCCCAGGCGCGGCCCCCGCAGGCCGGGCAGUGACCCCUGUGGCCCGGCCCUUAGGGCGUGCGAGUUGACCGUGCCCCUUCUCCAGGAUGCGCGGCCGGCGGCUGGGUUUUCGAACGCGCGGCUGUGAACGGCUCCUCGGCGAGGAGGCACAGCCUCCGCAGGCCAGAAGCCACGCGCCCACCAAAGGAAGUUAAUGCAGGAUGUGCUCCAGCGGAAUGUAAAGGUAUCCUACGAACAAGCAAGAGGAGGCACCCCACAAGCCUGGUAUUCCUGUUCUCCAAAGGACCCUACGAUGCACGGAUAACGUCUUCACUGCUUCCCAGCUGAGGGACUGCUGCCAAGUUCUCAACUUCUAUGUCCCUCCUCUCUUCACCUGCACCUGCCCUGUAGGGUAAUUAUAAGGCUUCAGCGAGCUACAUCCUGGAGGUGCUCCCUGAAUGUUACCUGUGAGGAGAAGCAGUGGAGCAGGGGAAUGCAGAGGAAGAAGAGAUGGGGUUGGAGCCAGGACUUCAUGCAGAAGUGAAGAGCCUGGUGCUCGGCAGAGGGAGUGGCCUGCUUUCGGUCACACAGGAGCGGUGGAUCCCGCAGCCCAAAUUUGUCUUGUAUCACUGAACUCCACAAUGGACAGCCAUUCAUUCCUUACAGAGCCUUAAGAGGGGUGAGUGCGAAUAGUAGCAUCUGAUUCCGAACUUCAGGGAGGCACCCCAUCGGAGGGAAGGGUCGUUUUCCAGAUGUCUGCCUCCCAAGGGGCGAUGUUUCA